GCAGUGGGCAGAGACCACCUCCCUCAUUGCCGCUUUGGGUUUGGACCGCUUUAAACAGUAAAGUGACUGUCGACGGCUCAGUCUACAGGGAGGAGAACAAAAGACAGGGUCAGGGCUGGGCAGACUGGACAGGGUAAGAUUCUGGCUCCCCUCACUUGCUAGUUGGAGGAGUGGGGAGGCGAGUUAUUAGUGCCUUUGGGCCCUGACCUUAUAGCCCUUCGUAGGGUGGUGUGCGAAUGUCCAGUGUCCAGUGCUGAAUGCUGAGGGACCCAGUAAGAGGAGGUGGCUAGAACUGGAGGGACAGUUUCCCAGAAGCCUGGGCUUUGGGAUAGCAGCUGGGGAGAGCAGAGUCACGCUAGGCUCUUGUCUAGUGACUGGAGCUAGCAGCAUAAGCCAGGCUCUAUGGAAUGUUGGGUGAGCUGCUUGAGGAACUCCAAGGCCUGUCCCACAGUCUUCCAGCCUCCGACUCUCCGGCCCUCAGCGAGGUCAGCAGUGAGCUACUUUUGGAUCUGUUGAAGUCCCACUGGUUUUUUUGGUUGGUUUUUUUUUUUUUUUUUAAGGUUUUUUGGUUUUUUUUUUUUUUUCUCAUUCCUGUCUUGGGAGCUUUCCCCAACCAGAGAGAGUGAUCUUUCAGCAGACUGAUCGAACACACAGGCUUCUCAGCCCACUCCCUCCAGUCAAGGUUAAGGCCUGGCAAAGGUGGAGGAAGAGAAGCUGAGGAGAAAAAGGCGAGGAGAGCCUAGGCACAGGAAGGUGACCGUGAGUAGAGUUGGGUGGUCCAGGGAUGUGGCUGGGAUCCCCUCUUCCUUCUGGAGUUCUCUUAGACAGUAAGGCUGAAGAGAAGCUUGGUACAGGAACUUCGAAGGUUUCUCAAGCGCUUCCCUCCCUCCCAGUGCUGAUUUCCUGUGGACCAGAUUCCAGCACAGUGGAGGGCCAGAGCUCAGGGAACAGACCCAGCAGCACAGCAAGUCUCCAAGGAAAGCUCUAGCAGUCUCCAGGGGCUGAAGAAC
rnacentral:lncRNA from 1 species